rnacentral:rRNA from 1 species
CCUACGGGGGGCAGCAGUGGGGAAUAUUGGACAAUGGGGGCAACCCUGAUCCAGCCAUGCCGCGUGUGUGAAGAAGGCCCUCGGGUUGUAAAGCACUUUCAGUGAGGAAGAACGCCUGGUGGUUAAUACCCAUCAGGAAAGACAUCACUCACAGAAGAAGCACCGGCUAACUCCGUGCCAGCAGCCGCGGUAAUACGGAGGGUGCGAGCGUUAAUCGGAAUUACUGGGCGUAAAGCGCGCGUAGGUGGCUUGAUAAGCCGGUUGUGAAAGCCCCGGGCUCAACCUGGGAACGGCAUCCGGAACUGUCAAGCUAGAGUGCAGGAGAGGAAGGUAGAAUUCCCGGUGUAGAGGUGAAAUGCGUAGAGAUCGGGAGGAAUACCAGUGGCGAAGGCGGCCUUCUGGACUGACACUGACACUGAGGUGCGAAAGCGUGGGUAGCAAACAGGAUUAGAUACCCCUGUAGUC